rnacentral:rRNA from 1 species
UGAGGCUNGAAAGCGUGGGUAGCGAACAGGAUUAGAUACCCUGGUAGUNCACGCCGUAAACGAUGAGUGCUAGGUGUUAGGCCCUUUCCGGGGCUUAGUGCCGGAGCUAACGCAAUAAGCACUCCGCCUGGGGAGUACGACCGCAAGGUUGAAACUCAAAGGAAUUGACGGGGGCCCGCACAAGCGGUGGAGCAUGUGGUUUAAUUCGAAGCAACGCGAAGAACCUUACCAGGUCUUGACAUCCCGAUGCUAUUCUUAGAGAUAGGAAGUUACUUCGGUACAUCGGAGACAGGUGGUGCAUGGUUGUCGUCAGCUCGUGUCGUGAGAUGUUGGGUUAAGUCCCGCAACGAGCGCAACCCUUAUUGUUAGUUGCCAUCAUUAAGUUGGGCACUCUAGCGAGACUGCCGGUAAUAAACCGGAGGAAGGUGGGGAUGACGUCAAAUCAUCAUGCCCCUUAUGACCUGGGCUACACACGUGCUACAAUGGUCGGUACAACGAGUUGCGAGCCGGUGACGGCAAGCUAAUCUCUGAAAGCCGAUCUCAGUUCGGAUUGGAGGCUGCAACUCGCCUCCAUGAAGUCGGAAUCGCUAGUAAUCGCGGACCAGCACGCCGCGGUGAAUACGUUCCCGGGCCUUGUACACACCGCCCGUCACACCACGAGAGUUUGUAACACCCGAAGUCGGUGAGGUAACCUUUUAGGGG